GUAGAAUCCAAUUUUGCAAUCGUAUGUACUCGGCUAUUUCCGUAAUAGAAAACAUAUACGCUAUUCAUUUUUUGAAAACCUGGAAUGAUGUUCUAGGUAUCUGAUAUUUUGCCAAACCUUUGAUAAAUAUUUUCAUCAGAUUUCUUCCUAAAAAAAUAAUUCUCCCCUUAUUUUAAAUUCAAAGCCUUCUUUUGAUUAAGUUAAAUAGCAUUAACGGAACGCGGGAACAUCAUAGCUUUGUACAUUUGUACACCAAUUUUGGUUUCUAUACUAGAGUUCAAGUGUUGUUACUGUUGAAGGAAACCAGGACACUUUAAAUUACAAUGAGAAAAAGGUGUGCAUAAUAAAAACAAAUGUUUCUAAAUUAAAUUUGAUUCUUAACCGGGUAUAUAUAAGCAUUUUAAAUGGUUUGAAAAUUUGUUUACGCAAUGUUUAUUAAUAGUCUUUCAUUGAUUUUAUAUGAAUGCAUGUACGAAUGUUGUGUUGAUAAAAGGUAACACUAGUGUAUAGAUAUUAUAAAAUCAAUUAUUCAAUGUUUAUGAUUAGCUAUUUUGAUACAUGCACUCAGCAGCUGCAUUGUGCUUUUAAUCAUGGCGAGCUUUACAUGCUUGUAAUAGGGAAUCAUGACAACUCGGACCAAAAACAAAUCGGACCAUUUAGUAUCUCAAACAUUUAUGUAUUGAUUCAUAAUUGGCAUGAACUGUGUUUCAAACUGAUCCUAGUGGUCUUUUAUACUGGCCCAAAUUGUCUUCCUAUAUGAUUCAAGUCGUCUUAAAAUUUGUCUGAGUAGGCUUCGUCCGACUUGUCUUCGCUCUGGGCUGUCACAUAUUCAUGUAACAAAUAUAUUGUAUUUUAUAUGCGUCCAAAUUUCACAUAAGAAUCAAAUUUUGUGUUGUUGUUAUCCUUGCUGUACUUAAAAUAACAUCAUGACCCGCAGGCGGGUUUUAAGGAAGAGAUAAAAAUUUGAACGCUUAACUUUUAGUGUUGGUUACCUUGAGCAGUAACUAUAUUCCAAAUAAGUUCUCUUUAUACGGACAUAAGUGUUGAAAGUCUUUCAACACUUAUGUCCGUAUAUUAAGUUAUUGACUGGUCUAAUGCAAUACGAAGCAGUUGUUUCUUUGGAUAGUCUCUGCAUGAAUUAUUCUAACAGUAGCAAGAACCUUUCGUUUUCAAAUGCCAUGAAAGCAUCUAUGUUAACAUGUGUUUUUUAAAAAGAUAUUUAUUGUUAUGCGUAUUUAUUAUUUUGUUUUUUAUAAGCAGUAUGAAAAAGCAUUGGAAAUUCGUCAUUUUACGACUUAUCAUAUGAUUCUUGUUUUGAAUUAUAUGAAGUGAGAUCUCUUUAUCAUGAGUUCUUUUCAUCGAAACUGGUUUAAGAUUGUCACGUGAUUUAUCCGUUUUUUGUCACGUGGUUCAUCCUUUUUUUCAGUCACGUGAUUUAAUCUUAUUUUUGACACGUGAUAUAUCUUUAUUUUUCUAUACGUGAUUUAUCCUUUUUUUGUCACUUGAUAUAUCCUCUUUUCCAGUCAUGUGAUUUAUUCUUUUUUUUGUCUCGUGAUUUAUUAUUUUUUAAGUCGCGUGAAUCAAUGUUUGCAAAUCACAUGCAUACAUAUUUUGCCUCAAAAUCAGUUAUAGCACACUAAAUGUCGAUCAAUUAGUUGUGACGAGUUGCACAAAGAACGAAUUUUAUAUCUGUGAAUUUUACUUAGCGAAUGAACUUUCAAUGCUGUAUUUAAACUGUUUGUAUAUAUUUAAAUAUUUUUGUGUUUGUUGUAACGUUAUGUAUGCAUAUCUCCAUUUAUGUAUAAAUGGCUCAGGAUAAAAGUGAUAUUGUCUUUUUGAUAUUGUUGAGAUGGUAGGAUGUGUAAGUUAAUAAAU
rnacentral:lncRNA from 1 species